UAUGUAUCCUCGUGCGCGCGCUUAACUUGGGGUUAAAGCAACUCCGCGUUGAUUGAACUAAUUGUUAUCAGCCUUUCUGAAACCGAAUAUUCCGAGUUGGACAGUUCGGGGUUACUCAACCCUGAGUAUCAUUUUUAACUCUGAGUUUUCUAAACCGACUUUCUGAAACAGGGCCCAGUUCUCCACAGUCGUUGUCCAUAUGGGUCAGUGGGACCAAGCAGCACUCUGCUAAUGUGUGGACUCUGACCAGCAAUAUCCAGCAAGACCCAGGCAACGUUUUCUAUCUCCCAGCUGGUGUUUUUUGUUUGUCUGUGACUGGAGAGUCAGAUUUUUGUUGAAGCUGGAGGAACAGAGAAGUUAAUACACGCUACUGAUCCCUGAUGGGAGAAUCAUCACCUCUGCCAACAAAGAAGCCUGGUGGAUAUUUGUUUACAGUCUGAUGAUGGGACAUCAUGCUCUGCAUCUUCAAAUCUUUUUGCAGGAUCAGAAAACAAAACCAGGAUGACCGUAAAUGUUUCUUCUCCAGUUGGAUGAUGAUAAGACCGUGACACGAGCAGAGCGGCAGUUUGUGCCCACAGAUGGUGACGGUGUGGAGAGACGGUGGUGUUUCCUCAGAACAACAAGCAGAGUCACCAAGGACACAAGUCCAUCUCACCACCUUGACUUGCUGACUGAUGCUCGUCUGCACUGCACAGAGGAAAUCAACUGACCGAGGAGUGUUUCUGGGUGAGGGAGAGAGGAGUCAUCAUCCAGGUAAAGUGACGUGGAUCAGUGGACACACUUGUCUCCCCUUUAAAGGAGAUAGAGAGACGAUCCGAGUCAUCCCUAAAUAUGGGCAGGAUAUCAGUCUUGGACUGUCUAACCUGCCGGAGCAGCACUAAAUGACCACCACACAUGAGCAUGUUCCUGCAGCAUUCAGCAGCUUUGCUUUUGGGUCAAAGGUCAACCAGCUGGAGAGGAAACUACACCACUGUACUGGGAUGUUUCACCAACACGUGCCAGAUGCUGUUACUUCAUGGUGACAUCACCAGAGACAGCCCCGCCCACCUCAGGACCUCGCCAUUGAUUAUGAUGAUUAUAAUCGGAACUAAGACUGUACAAAUCCACGACCAGAAUGUUUAGAUGCUUUCUAAUUAUUAAUGAAUACUGAGAGCCUCUUUCUGUGUUUUG